GCAACCUUUUUACCCUUUUUGCUGAAGGUAAAUAAAUUCACUGAAUUGUUACAACUUACAGAUGCUGGCAUGCUACAACCAGACAAGAAACAGAAGAUUUAUUCAUUCUUGAUACUACACCGUGGGGAGGAUCAAAAAGACGAGAGCUCUGCUCAAUAUAAAGCAUCUAGUUCUUUUAUUCUGGCUAAUUACAGAAGGUCGAUGUUGAUCUGCCACCCCCUUUUCUGUUUCAUAUCUCAUCAUAUUUACAGUCGUGGAAUCUCCCCCUACACCCUACAAAAAUUGCGAUUCCAUGAAAUUCCUUUCGGUGGUACUGGCUUCCCACCGUGUACAGAAACCUCCUUCUGCGGCAAUGUUAUUGAAUCCUUUCUACUAUUACCUGGCCUUUACAUAUACAGCAAGGAAAACGAAGAACCGCUUCUGACCCUCGUGCACAAAGGUAACGCG
rnacentral:misc_RNA from 1 species